UACGAAGGGGGCUAGCGUUGCUCGGAAUGACUGGGCGUAAAGGGCGCGUAGGCGGAUGGCACAGUCAGAUGUGAAAUUCCCGGGCUUAACCUGGGGGCUGCAUUUGAUACGUGUUGUCUUGAGUUCGGAAGAGGGUCGUGGAAUUCCCAGUGUAGAGGUGAAAUGCGCAGAUAUCAGGAGGAACACCGGUGGCGAAGGCGGAUCUCUGGGCCAUCACUGACGCUGAGGAGCGAAAGCGUGGGGAGCGAACAGG
rnacentral:rRNA from 1 species